rnacentral:rRNA from 1 species
UACGUAGGGACCGAGCGUUGUCCGGAAUCAUUGGGCGUAAAGCGCGCGUAGGCGGCCCUGUAAGUCCGUUGUGAAAGUCAAAGGCUCAACCUUUGAAAGCCGAUGGAUACUGCAGGGCUAGAGUCCGGAAGAGGCGAGUGGAAUUCCUGGUGUAGCGGUGGAAUGCGCAGAUAUCAGGAGGAACACCAAUAGCGAAGGCAGCUCGCUGGGACGGUACUGACGCUAAGGCGCGAAAGCGUGGGGAGCGAACAGG